ACAUGCACCCCAUCUCUGGGUGCGCCUUGGAGCCGGGACUUCCCUUUGCCGUCCUCCGGCUGGACCGUGGGGGAAGUGCGGGGCUCACCAGAUGACCGCACGGGGCCUGGGAGGGACCCUGCUGAGUCAGCCGUUUCUCAUCUGCUGCAGAGAAUCCUGCUGUCAGGGCGGAGAGAAUGGCGGCGCCUCCCGUAUUCGGCCGCCCCGUCGGGGACACAUGCUCCUCGUCGGCAAGGCUCCUCAUUAGCUGUCCAGGUGGACACCACAAGCCCGGGGCUCUCGUCCCCUCCCUUACUGAAGCACCAUGCUCGAAAGGGGUCUCCAUUUGUUUCUGUAAAUCCCAACCAAAGGGUGAAAAUGAAAGCCCUCCCUCAGAGUCCCUCUGGUGCAGGCUGUGGCGCUCGGGCACCUGGGGCUGGCACUAAGCCCUCUGGGGACCUGCAAGCUCUGGCCAACAGCACGGGGUUCGGCCGUGCCGGGCUGCGGGAUGCUGUUUCCAGCCGGCCCCCGGUGGCCAUGGUGGGAGGGCUGCAUCGCAGGGACUUGUCUCUUUGUCUUUUAAAAAAUCCGAUCGAGUGAAGGAAGAACCUGCCUCCUGUCCUUCCCUUGCUCUGUCUUUGUUUCUUGUAGUUCCAUUUGCAGACAGUAGAUCCAAAAAUAACCUGGCGGCCAGAAUUUGAAAUACCCCUCGUGCCCCGGAGAAUCUGCACCCACGGGUUUCUGUGAAAUUGCCCUUGACAGCUUUGCUCAGUACCUUUGUUCUGGAUGUGCUUCUCACGCUGUUGGAUUGAGUGUUCCUUUUUCUUUUGCACUAGCAUUCCACGCCUACGGGAAGGCGGGCAAGAUGCUGGUAGAGACCAGCAUGAUCGGGCUGAUGCUGGGCACCUGCAUUGCCUUCUAUGUCGUGAUCGGCGACUUGGGGUCCAACUUCUUCGCCCGGCUGUUCGGGUUUCAGGUGGGCGGCACCUUCCGCAUGUUCCUGCUGUUCGCCGUGUCGCUGUGCAUCGUGCUCCCGCUCAGCCUGCAGCGGAACAUGAUGGCCUCCAUCCAGUCCUUCAGCGCCAUGGCCCUCCUCUUCUACACUGUGUUCAUGUUCGUGAUCGUGCUCUCCUCUCUCAAGCAUGGCCUCUUCAGUGGGCAGUGGCUGCGGCGGGUCAGCUAUGUCCGCUGGGAGGGCGUCUUCCGCUGCAUCCCGAUCUUCGGCAUGUCCUUCGCCUGCCAGUCCCAGGUGCUGCCUACCUACGACAGCCUGGAUGAGCCAUCAGUGAAAACCAUGAGCUCCAUAUUUGCCUCCUCCCUCAAUGUGGUCACCACCUUCUACGUCAUGGUGGGGUUUUUCGGCUACGUCAGCUUCACCGAGGCCACGGCCGGCAACGUGCUGAUGCACUUUCCCUCCAACCUGGUGACAGAGAUGCUCCGUGUGGGCUUCAUGAUGUCGGUGGCUGUGGGCUUCCCCAUGAUGAUCCUGCCAUGCAGGCAGGCCCUGAGCACGCUGCUGUGUGAGCAGCAGCAAAAAGAUGGCACCUUUGCGGCAGGGGGCUACAUGCCUCCUCUCCGGUUUAAAGCACUUACCCUCUCUGUGGUGUUUGGAACCAUGGUUGGUGGCAUCCUUAUCCCCAACGUGGAGACCAUCCUGGGCCUCACAGGAGCGACCAUGGGAAGCCUCAUCUGCUUCAUCUGCCCGGCGCUGAUCUACAAGAAAAUCCACAAGAACGCACUUUCCUCCCAGGUGGUGCUGUGGGUCGGCCUGGGCAUCCUGGUGGUGAGCACUGUCACCACACUGUCUGUGAGCGAGGACGUCCCCGAGGACUUGGCAGAGGAAGCCCCUGGCGGCCGGCUUGGAGAGGCCGAGGGUUUGAUGAAGGUGGAGGCAGCACGGCUCUCAGCCCAGGAUCCGGUUGUGGCCGUGGCUGAGGAUGGCCGGGAGAAGCCGAAGCUGCCGAAGGAGAGAGAGGAGCUGGAGCAGGCCCAGAUCAAGGGGCCCAUGGAUGUGCCCGGACGGGAAGAUGGCAAGGAGGCACAGGAGGAGGCGCAGCUUGAUCGCCCUGGGCAAGGGAUUGCUGUGCCUGUGGGCGAGGCCCACCGCCACGAGCCUCCUGUUCCUCAUGACAAGGUGGUGGUAGAUGAAGGCCAAGACCAAGAGGUGCCAGAAGAGAACAAACCUCCAUCCAGACACGCGGGCGGAAAGGCUCCAGGGGUCCAGGGCCAGAUGGCGCCGCCUCUACCCGACUCAGAAAGAGAGAAACGGGAGCCGGAGCAGGGAGAGGUUGGGAAGAGGCCUGGACAGGCCCAGGCCUUGGAGGAAGCGGGUGAUCUUCCUGAAGAUCCCCAGAAAGUUCCAGAAGCAGAUGGUCAGCCAGCUGUCCAGCCUGCAAAGGAGGACCUGGAGCCAGGAGACAGGGGCCUGCAUCCUCGGCCCCAGGCAGUGCUGUCUGAGCAGCAGAAUGGCCUGGCAGUGGAUGAAGGGGAAAAGGCCGAGGGGGUACCGCCACCAGGCAACGCCGCCGGGGACACAGGGCAGCCCGCAGAGGACAGCGACCACGGUGGGAAGCCUCCCCUCCCAGAGGAGAAGCCGGCUCCGGGGGCUGGGCUGCCGCCCGAGCCUCGAGAGCAGAGGGACGUGGAGCGAGCGGGUGGAGACCAGGCGGCCAGCCAGCUGGAGGAAGCUGGCAGGGCGGAGAUGCUGGACCACGCCGUCCUGCUUCAGGUGAUCAAAGAACAGCAGGUGCAGCAAAAGCGCUUGCUGGACCAGCAGGAGAAGCUGCUGGCGGUGAUCGAGGAGCAGCACAAGGAGAUCCACCAGCAGAGGCAGGAGGACGAGGAGGACAAGCCCAGGCAGGUGGAGGUGCAUCCAGAGCCCGGGGCAGCGGUGCCCAGAGGCCAGGAGGCCCCCGAAGGC
rnacentral:sRNA from 1 species